UGCUGGAUAGCCCAGUUGGUAGAGCAUGAGUCUCUUAACCUCAGGGUUAUGGGGUCAAGCCCCACGUUGGGUGAA